rnacentral:rRNA from 1 species
UGCAACUCGACUCCAUGAAGUCGGAAUCGCUAGUAAUCGUAGAUCAGAAUGCUACGGUGAAUACGUUCCCGGGCCUUGUACACACCGCCCGUCACACCAUGGGAGUGGGUUGCAAAAGAAGUAGGUAGCUUAACCUUCGGGAGGGCGCUUACCACUUUGUGAUUCAUGACUGGGGUGAAGUCGUAACAAGGUAACCGUAGGGGAACCUGCGGUUGGAUCACCUCCUUACCUUAAAGAA